GAGGAGCUGAUGAACAUCUGACUGGAAGUGAGUCAUCGGGAUGAAAUGAACUUCAGUGAUGGGGUCAUGAUGCGGGAAACCCCGGAGGACCCAGUCUCCUGACGCAGAUAUACAAGUCCAGAAAUACAGUUAUUAAUACAUCAUCAGAUUUGAAGCUUGUGACUCUGAUUGAUUUAACAUCCAAUAAAAGCACAGAAAUGAUAUCAUGCUAUAUAUUUGAUUUAACUGUGAUGAUCAAACAUGGAAACAACAGAAAGAGAUUUUAGAAAAUAAGAAAUAAAACCAAUAUUAUAAACUCAGAUUUUAAAGUGUUCCAUUAUUUUUAAAGGAAAACUGUGAAAUUAACCCUAUUUUAAAAACCAAGGGAAACACAUCCUCAACACGUCUUUAGUCUCUGUUCUAACGACCGCCUGUCUGAGUCAUCUGAAGGGUGGCAGACUAUUAUUUAUUAUUCUCAGUGACUACUGGUCUGGUUUUCCGCAGCAGCCAGUGUUGGGAAAGACUCUGGGACCUUCACCUGCAGGAACUCGCCUCACGUGAGACUGAACACAUACCUGAGCGUCUUCACAGAGACAGUGACAUCACUGUGGAACACUCGCACUCCUAUUGGCUAGCGCUCCGACAAAUUGUACGUGAUAGACUAAGGGGCGGGACAUCUCUAAGCUGGUUGACCAAUCACAACAGAGCCAGCUAACCAAUCAGAGCAGACGGGACUCUGGUUUCCGACAGAGGGUGAGCAGAGCUCUGUACUUCUGUCAUAUUCACCUCUCAAAUGUCCCAAUGGACAAAUCAGAAUCCAGUAUUCAACUAAGCCAUGUAAUAAAUAAUAAUAACCACCUGAAACGUCCUCUGGGACAAUAACGUUUACUCAAAUAUAAAUCAGAGGACUUCCUCAGGAAUCAGUGUCGGGUCAUCCAGAAGCGCUCAUCAGACCUCCUCUGUCUCAGCAGUGAUGUAUUCUGGGAAAGUCCAGAGUCUGCGUCUCUGAGAGGACGGGACAUGUGGAAGUCAUUAAAGUCACCUGUAACCUGUAGAAUCACCUGUAGAAUACCUGUAACCUGUAGAAUCACCUGUAGAAUACCUGUAACCUGUAGAAUCACCUGUAGAAUACCUGUAACCUGUAGAAUCACCUGUAGAAUACCUGUAACCUGUAGAAUCACCUGUAACCUGUAGAAUCACCUGUAGAAUACCUAUAACCUGUAGAAUCACCUGUAACCUGUAGAAUCACCUGUAACCUGUAGAAUCACCUGUAGAAUACCUGUAACCUGUAGAAUCACCUGUAGAAUACCUGUAACCUGUAGAAUCACCUGUAGAAUACCUGUAACCUCUAGAAUCACCUGUAGAAUACCUGUAACCUGUAGAAUCACCUGUAGAAUACCUGUAACCUGUAGAAUCACCUGUAGAAUACCUGUAACCUGUAGAAUCACCUGUAGAAUACCUGUAACCUGUAGAAUCACCUGUAGAAUACCUGUAACCUGUAGAAUCACCUGUAAC